GACGAACCGUGCGAACGUUAUUCGGAAUCACUGGGCUUAAAGAGCGCGUAGGCGGAUGCCACGCGGUGUCUGAAAUCCCCGCUCAACCGGGGAAGUGGAUCCGAUACGGGUAGUCUUGAGGGACGUAGGGGGGGCUGGAACUUCCGGUGGAGCGGUGAAAUGCGUUGAGAUCGGAAGGAACGCCCGUGGCGAAAGCGAGCCCCUGGACGUCUGCUGACGCUGAGGCGCGAAAGCUAGGGGAGCGAACGGG
rnacentral:rRNA from 1 species